GCCUACGGCCAUACCACCCUGAAAGCGCCUGCUCUCGUCUGAUCUCGGAAGCUAAGCAGGGACGGGCUUGGUUAGUACCUGGAUGGGAGACCGCCUGGGAAUACCAGGUGUUGUAGGCU
rnacentral:rRNA from 1 species